UAUACAGCAGAAACAUAUUAUCUAUGUCACGAGGGUGUAAAGUGCCACGUCUGACUCCGUUAUACCCGGGGUCAGGAAGUCGCAGCGGGUGGCUGCGCGCUCUAUGUCUAAAGAUCGCGCUGUUACUUAAUGGUAGCUUUCUGGGUUUGCCUUGCAACCCUUUUUG